AAAAAAAAAACUAAACAAUUUUCCGAAAAUAAACAAACCCCGUAUCUCGCCAGCUCAAAUGUGCCGUCCAUCUCUUCAUCGACACCUAGUUUUCAAACAAGGUAAGGACUCAACCACGUAUACUAAAUCUCAGCCCUUAAUCAUUCAGCUAACCUACUAAUCCUGUCCGUCUAUUCUCCCAGAGCCUCUAUAUAGUCGCCCACCCGCCAUUCAGCCUUUUUUGCCUUCUUGGUUCAGCUCUUGUAUUCCCAGAUCUACCCUUCAUGGAUUCCCCUUCGAUCUUUUGUAUUCCAGGUUCAGCUAGAUCGCUCUGCGAUCUUUAUCCUGAUAUCAGACUUGAUGGUCGAAGUUCAACACCGUGAUUUUGCGGUCUGUUAUCUUAUUUGAUAGGAGAUCGCUCCUGAGAUACGGCGGAGCUCUGUUUC